rnacentral:lncRNA from 1 species
AACUUGUUUGAGGGCUCUUAACUUUUCUAUUAUUCAUAUUGCUGAAUAUCUGCUUAUAUAGAAGCUGUAUUUUUCUCUUUGUUCUUUCUAUCCAUUUGGUCCUUACUUGAUUCAAUUAGGGGAUUGAAUCAAGGGUGUAAAAGUUUGUUGGUGAGCCUAGGUUGAAACCAACGUGUAAGGGUUCGAUUGUGAUCCCGGAAAAACAAUCGGGUGGUUCUAGUCGGUGAGCCUGGGAAAACCGACCGAGUUCGUUGUGACCUCGUAAAACAACAAGUUAGGUUGUGAGCUUGUAAAACAACCGGCUGUAAUCCGAGGGAUUAUAGUGAAUUCCCAAGUGAGGCUUGGGGAGUGGACGUAGAAGCAAGGGUUAGCUCCGAACCACUUUAAAAUCUUUGUGUUUGUGAUUGCCUUGUCAUCUCUUACUUUCAUUUCAUUCACUGCACA